rnacentral:lncRNA from 1 species
UGAAUAAUGUUAAAAAGCCCAUCAAAUUACAUAAAAAAAAAUCAUUAGAUAAAUAUAGCGAAAAUAUAAUUUAUUUAUUAAUUAGUUACAAGAUUUGCCACUAUAUUGAUUUGAAUUAAUUAUUGGGUGAUUUGAUUGGUUUCUUAGUUUCAUCCUAAUACUAAAAUAUUUCAAAGUUGGAAUCUUAUUUUACAUUCAAUUCCAAAAUAUUAUUCG